UACGAAGGGGGCUAGCGUUGCUCGGAAUCACUGGGCGUAAAGCGCACGUAGGCGGAUUGUUAAGUCAGGGGUGAAAUCCUGGAGCUCAACUCCAGAACUGCCUUUGAUACUGGCGAUCUUGAGUUCGGGAGAGGUGAGUGGAACUGCGAGUGUAGAGGUGAAAUUCGUAGAUAUUCGCAAGAACACCAGUGGCGAAGGCGGCUCAGUGGCCCGGUACUGACGCUGAGGUGCGAAAGCGUGGGGAGCAAACAGG
rnacentral:rRNA from 1 species